rnacentral:lncRNA from 1 species
GUCCCAUUUAUCAUCUUCCGUCAGAGGUCUUCACCACUGCCAUAAUGGGAAUUUAUUGUAUGGCUUUGUGAGGACAGAGACGAGCUGGUUCCCGUUUUGCACAGCAAUGUGGUGAUGUGUAUCACAGACACUGCCGAGCGCCGAGAUGGUCGGGAAGGAAACACUUUUCUUCAGCAUCUCCACAGAAGGCCUCCUUGGGGCUUGGUGCUCCCGUCUCAGCCUCCAAAGGUGGGCUCCAGUCUCCUGGGUCAGUUAGAAGGGCAACUUCAAGGACCAUCAGAUUUCACUCAAGAGUUGGUGGUAAGUGGAGUUGGUGGAGAAAGCAGAGGUUUACUAUGGACCAGAAGUUCAUGAUUCUAUACAAAUAUAGAGAAAGGUUCUCUUGGUGACAUUUUCUUUUCUGUCUGUAAAGAUAAUACAUUAUCAUUUUACAAGUUCAUAUAAUAG